GACGAACGCUGGCGGCGUGCCUAAUACAUGCAAGUUGAGCGCUGAAGGUUGGUACUUGUACCGAUUGGAUGAGCAGCGAACGGGUGAGUAACGCGUGGGGAAUCUGCCUUUGAGCGGGGGACAACCUUUGGAAACGAAUGCUAAUACCGCCUAAAAACUUUAAACACAAGUUUUAAGUUUGACAGAUGCAAUUGCAUCACUCAAAGAUGAUCCCGCGUUGUAUUAGCUAGUUGGUGAGGUAAAGGCUCACCAAGGCCAUGAUACAUAGCCGACCUGAGAGGGUGAACGGCCACAUUGGGACUGGGACACGGCCCAAACUCCUACGGGAGGCAGCAGUAGGGAAUCUUCGGACAUGGACGAAAGUCUGACCGAGGAACGCCGCGUGAGUGAAGAAGGGUUUCGGAUCGUAAAACUCUGUUGGUAGAGAAGAAAGGUGGUGAGGGUGGAAAGCUCAUCAAGUGACGGUAACUACCCAGAAAGGGACGGCUAACUACGUG
rnacentral:rRNA from 1 species